rnacentral:tRNA from 6 species
GCCCAGAUAGCUCAGUUGGUAGAGCAGCGGACUGAAAAUCCGCGUGUCCGUGGUUCGAAUCCGCGUCUGGGCACCG